rnacentral:rRNA from 1 species
UUCCUACGGGAGGCAGCAGUGGGGAAUAUUGGACAAUGGGGGAAACCCUGAUCCAGCGACGCCGCGUGACUGAAGAAGUAUUUCGGUAUGUAAAGGUCUAUCAGCAGGGAAGAAAAUGACGGUACCUGACUAAGAAGCCCCGGCUAACUACGUGCCAGCAGCCGCGGUAAU